UUUCCGUAGGUGAACCUGCGGAAGGAUCAUUAUUGAAAUAGAAGACCCACUUGUUGGGCUUCAACCUUUCAAAUUCAAACACACUGUGCACUGUCGAGGUGAACGCCACUGCCCCAUGUGGACAGGGGUUACUAGCCUUACCCUUUCUUCAAAACACAAAGUCAAUGAAUGUAUAACUACACAUAAUAACAAAACUUUCAACAACGGAUCUCUUGGCUCCC
rnacentral:misc_RNA from 1 species